CCCUCCCGCCCCUUCCCAGAUACUCAGCUUUUUGUCCUGCAUCUAAUGUUUUCAUUAGGAAACUGGGCGCAACCAAGUCAAGGAGGGAAGGAUUAGAGAGCAAGAGAGCAAACGCAGGGCAAAGAGGGAAAGAGGGAGUUUCUGGAGGAGAAGAAUUUUUUGGUUUUUCAGUGUGAUUUUGAAUUAAAGGAGAACUUGGGGUUCUCACAUUUUCUCUUUUUUCUUUCCUUCACACUCUCUCCACUCUUUGACACCAGCUGCUUGCCAGCUUUUAUCAUGAUCUGCCCUUCCAGCUCCUCCAUUGGAUUCCUCCUCCUCCUGAUUGGCUACGCUGCAGCAGGACCGGAUCCUGACUUGCGGCCUCGAGCGGUGCGUUCAAGUGCCUGUCAGGAGCACACAAAUCUUCACAACCGCCUGGAUGUAGUGGAGAAGAAAGUCGAGGACACAGUUGAGAAGUUGGAGGUUGAGCUCACAACUCUUCUGGAAUCUAUUAAUGCCCCCAAAUGGCGCCCCCUGUUGGACAAUAUGGGACAGACAACUGUGGACAUCCUGGAAGCUCCAGAGCAGAGUCAGUCCUGAACCAAGCAGACACUGAUGGAGAAGGGACUUGAAGAAGCAAUUAAACUUUGAAUGGUUUAUUCUGUUUUCAUGACCUAAAUGUUAACUUUUACAGAAACUUUGUAUGCAUAUAUUCUGUAUAUCAAAAUGAAAUUUGUAUUAUAAAAGAGGAUGCUUUUUUUUGUUGCACGUCACGCUUCUCUAAAUUAUUUACUCCUACUAAUCCUGUGACAGCCUCGUGAUCUCUUUUCCAGACUCUUUCUCAGGCUCAGAGUCUCCCUCCUGCAGUCAGUAGUGACCCAGUUCAUGUUUACCUUCUCAACGAGACUGAUUCACUUUGGAAACCUCUGCUCAGUAAAUGCACACCCCUGCUCUCUACCGCCCUCUAAUGCCUGCAGCCAAACUGUGCCUUAACCCUUAGAUGCACAAGCGAUCGGACCCUACACUCUUCCAUAAGUGGAUCAAAAAUGACCCGAAUAAGAAUUAAUGUGUUUUUAUGUCAUUUUGUUAAAGAAUAAUCAUUUGUAUUAUAUUUUGG
ensembl:lncRNA